GCCCUCAGUAACGGCGAGUGAAGCGGGCAAAGCUCAACCUGAAAAUCGGUUCUCCAAGCGGGGUAUCGAGUUGUGGGCUACAGAUGCGUGAUCAGUGUGUGACUCAGGUAUAAAUCUUUUGAAACAAGGUAUCAUAGAGGGUGAGAAUCCCGUCUUUGACCUGAAGAUUCGCCACGUACGAUCCGUAGUCAUAGAGUCGAGUUGUUUGGGAUUGCAGCUCUAAAUGGGUGGUAAAUUUCAUCUAAAGCUAAAUAUCGACGAGAGACCGAUAGCGAACAAGUACCGUGAGGGAAAGAUGAAAAGAACUUUGAAAAGAGAGUUAAAAAGUACUUGAAAUUGCUAAGAGGGAAGCACUGGAAACCAGUAUUGACCUGCAUGUAUCUUUAGGCGUUGCUACUUCGUCUGCGCAGUUGUUCGGAGCCCAAAGCCCGACCGCAGUGUAGAAGGAGGUGUGGCGCUGUCGUACGGUAGGUCGGAUCAGAAUCAAUUUGAUUCGUGAGAGAAAGCCAUGGUGAUGCAUCUUCGGCUGUAGCAAUACAGAAGUUGGUGAUCCUGUGGUGCUAUCAUGGAUUGGAUUGAGGUACAAUCGUAAUGCGCACCACUAGGUAGCGGUUCCCUGACCCUGGCUGGUUAGAAGAUUUGGAGAACAAAGUUCUGCUAUUUUCGAAGCCUUCUACUGGAAAGGAUGAGCCAGCAGCAGCAUUCGAGAUUCUGAUGAAAUGGUUUUCACUGACCCGUCUUGA
rnacentral:rRNA from 1 species